GGUUCGUUGGUCUAGCGGUAUGAUUCUCGCUUAGGGUCUCAACCCUGAGUUGCACACGAAAGUGUAAAAAAAUGCGAGAGGUCCCGGGUUCAAUCCCCGGACGAACCC